rnacentral:tRNA from 1 species
GGUGGAGUUCCCGAGUGGUUAAAGGGAGCAGACUGUAAAUCUGCCGUCUAUCGACUUCGAAGGUUCGAAUCCUUCCUCCACCA